AGUGAAAUUGAACUCGCUGUGAAGAUGCAGUGUACCCGCGGCAAGACGGAAAGACCCCGUGAACCUUUACUAUAGCUUGACACUGAACAUUGAGCCUUGAUGUGUAGGAUAGGUGGGAGGCUUUGAAGUGUGGACGCCAGUCUGCAUGGAGCCGGCCUUGAAAUACCACCCUUUAAUGUUUGAUGUUCUAACGUGGACCCGUGAUCCGGGUUGCGGACAGUGUCUGGUGGGUAGUUUGACUGGGGCGGUCUCCUCCUAAAGAGUAACGGAGGAGCACGAAGGUUGGCUAAUCCUGGUCGGACAUCAGGAGGUUAGUGCAAUGGCAUAAGCCAGCUUGACUGCGAGCGUGACGGCGCGAGCAGGUGCGAAAGCAGGUCAUAGUGAUCCGGUGGUUCUGAAUGGAAGGGCCAUCGCUCAACGGAUAAAAGGUACUCCGGGGAUAACAGGCUGAUACCGCCCAAGAGUUCAUAUCGACGGCGGUGUUUGGCACCUCGAUGUCGGCUCAUCACAUCCUGGGGCUGAAGUAGGUCCCAAGGGUAUGGCUGUUCGCCAUUUAAAGUGGUACGCGAGCUGGGUUUAGAACGUCGUGAGACAGUUCGGUCCCUAUCUGCCGUGGGCGCUGGAGAACUGAGGGGGGCUGCUCCUAGUACGAGAGGACCGGAGUGGACGCAUCACUGGUGUUCGGGUUGUCAUGCCAAUGGCACUGCCCGGUAGCUAAAUGCGGAAGAGAUAAGUGCUGAAAGCAUCUAAGCACGAAACUUGCCCCGAGAUGAGUUCUCCCUGACCCUUUAAGGGUCCUGAAGGAACGUUGAAGACGACGACGUUGAUAGGCCGGGUGUGUAAGCGCAGCGAUGCGUUGAGCUAACCGGUACUAAUGAACCGUGAGGCUUAACCUUACAACGCCGAAG
rnacentral:rRNA from 1 species